CAUUACACAAAUAUGAAGCCGGACUGGGAUAGGGCCUCGCUGCCUUGCCCGUCUGGCGCCAUAUUCACCCAUGUCUUUUUGCGUACUACUUGUUUCCUUGGCGGGUCCGCCCGCCAAUUGGACCUUAUUCAAACCUUUUUUUCAGUUGCAAUCAGCGUCAGCAAAACAAAUGUAAUCAAUUACAACUUUCAACAACGGAUCUCUUGGUUCUGGCAUCGAUGAAGAACGCAGCGAAAUGCGAUAAGUAGUGUGAAUUGCAGAAUUCAGUGAAUCAUCGAAUCUUUGAACGCACAUUGCGCCCUUUGGUAUUCCAAAGGGCAUGCCUGUUCGAGCGUCAUUUGUACCCUCAAGCUUUGCUUGGUGUUGGGCGUCUUGUCUCUCUCCCGAGACUCGCCUUAAAAUCAUUGGCAGCCGGCCUACUGGUUUCGGAGCGCAGCACAUUAUUUGCGCUCUUGUCCAGCCGCGGUCGCGCGUCCAUGAAGCUUCUUUCAACCUUUUGACCUCGGAUCAGGUAGG
rnacentral:rRNA from 1 species